rnacentral:lncRNA from 1 species
GGAAAAAUUUUUCAUGAAUCUUGAAUAUAUGCAAAGAGGCUUACCAAUCAACAAUAAGAGAAUAUUAGAAUUAGAAUUAAUGGACACCAUAAAAAAAAGAAAAACUGUGAAAGUCUGGAGUGCAUUUGCUUGAUGACUCUGGGUAUUUACUCAACUGUCAUCUAUCUGCUACCACCUGUGUCUGAGUAUUUGAGUUGAGUAGGUCAUGAUAGAACCCACACAAAUUGCAUGGUUGCCUUAGGAUAAAUUAGUCUAUCAGCACCUCUACUAUCUGACCUUUAGCCACUGUAUCCUGAUUCACCAGCUUUUAAAGAGAUGAUAUAAUAAAAGUAGGUCCAAUUUCCCUUAAUCCCCUGCAAACCAAAGGCCUUAGCUUUAGUGAGAGAAAAAUGGGCCAGGAGGGAAUGUAGAGGAUAUAACCUUCUACGGCUCUUUUGGAUACUAGUGUUCAAGUGGCAAUUUUAUCUGGCUUUCUUGAGGGAAAGGAUCUACACAUUCAAGUUGCCAAUUUUGGAAACACUUAAGUGGGAAUGCAAAGAUCUGUUAUGUAUGACUAUAAUGGCAGACCUUUUAGAGUUUGCAAUGAUAAUAAGCAGC